AGCGAACGCUGGCGGCAGGCCUAACACAUGCAAGUCGAACGAAGUCUUCGGACUUAGUGGCGGACGGGUGAGUAACACGUGGGAACGUGCCUUUAGGUUCGGAAUAACUCAGGGAAACGAGUGCUAAUACCGAAUGUGCCCUUCGGGGGACAGAUUUAUCGCCUUUAGAGCGGCCCGCGUCUGAUUAGCUAGUUGGUGAGGUAAAGGCUCACCAAGGCUACGAUCAGUAGCUGGUCUGAGAGGAUGACCGGCCACAUUGGGACUGAGACACGGCCCAAACUCCUACGGGAGGCAGCAGUGGGGAAUCUUGCGCAAUGGGCGAAAGCCUGACGCAGCCAUGCCGCGUGGAUGAUGAAGGUCUUAGGAUUGUGAAAUCCUUUCACCGGUGAAGAUAAUGACUGUAGCCGGAGAAGAAGCCCCGGCUAACUUCGUGCCAGCAGCCGCGGUAAUAC
rnacentral:rRNA from 1 species